AUUCCAGCUCCAAUGGCGUAUACUAAAGUUGUUGCAGUUAAAAAGCUCGUAGUUGAAUUUCUGGGUGUGAUAGGCGGUCCGUGUGCAUAACAUGUGUACCUCCCUCUCAUGCCCAUCCUCGAAGUGAAUAUGCAUUGCCUUAACUGUGUCGUGUAUAGGACCUUCGUCAUUUACUGUGAGCAAAAUAGAGUGUUCAAAGCAGGCUUAUGCCGUUGAAUAUAUUAGCAUGGAAUAAUAAGAUAUGACUUCUGUCUAUUUUGUUGGUUUGCAUUCGGAAGUAAUGAUUAAUAGGGAUAGUUGGGGGUUUUCGUAUUCAAUUGUCAGAGGUGGAAUUCUUGGAUUUGUUAAAGACGGACUACUGCGAAAGCAUUUGCCAAGGAUGUUUUCAUUA
rnacentral:rRNA from 1 species